CUGGUGUCUCAUGCAGCUGAUCAAAGCCAGGGAGUGGUAGGGGUUUAUUUCCUCUCAGGUUUGUUUUCGUGGCUGUGGGACCCCUAAUUGUCACGGGUUCGUUAUAUCCCACAGUGAGCGUGUGGCACAUGCCAUGGGACUGGCUCAGCCAUCACUGCAUGGAAGGAGGCUGUCUCCAUCCCGUGGAGUCCUACGGCACCACUGUGUGUCCUAUGGCAUGAUCAGGAGUUCUUUGGCACCCCUGGGAGUCUCAUGGCACCAUUGGGAGUCCUAUGGCAUGAUCAGGAGUCCUUUGGCACCACUGGGUGCCCCAUGGCACAAUUGAGAGUUCCAUGGCACCACUAGGUGCCCCAUGGCAUCACUGGGAGUCGUGUGGCACCAUUGGGCAUCCUGUGGCAUGACUUGGAGUCUUUGGCACCACUGGGUGCCCCAUGGCACCACUGAAUGAUGAAGGGGCUGCAGACGCGCACGGCUGUGAGCUUUAUAACAUUGACAUCAUUUCUGAUGGGGCUCGUCGAGCAGAGGAAGAAAAGGAGCUCCAUCUCCCCUCCAAUCCAUGAACUGGUGGCAUUUCCUACAGCAGUGCCAAGAUGUUUCCGAUACGAUGCGUUGCCGCGAUACGCCGCGACGGAGAUGCAUCCCAGCCAACACAGGGCUGUUGUGUCUUAUUGUGCAUCUUAUCCAUCUCCUGUCCCCUCCAUAGUGCCCAGGACCCCUCGAUGCCUCCUGCACUGCUUUAUAUAGGUCACCCCACGCUCAGCAGCAACGCUGGCAGCGGGGGAGGUUGGACUUCACACUCUUGCUCUGCGAGCUGCUUUUCUAGGUCACCAACCCACAGCGGUGCAUUAAAAUAGAGCCUCUCCCUUGCCUGUUCCCCGCGGCCGUGGGUUGUGAUGCUACGGCUGCUGCAGCCGCCAGCCAAGGGAAAAGGGGUGCAGGGUGAUGGGCUGCCAACCAGAUCCACCCUGAUCCCAGCAAUGUGUGCUGUGGGCUGGGCAGGGUGAUGCUGCGCUCUGAAAUGAUGGGAUCCUGGAGCGCAUGGGCACACCAAGGGGUCCUCUGACCCAAAGCUGGUCCCAUCC
rnacentral:lncRNA from 1 species